UAAGAGGAACCCCAAGAGGUCGAAUGGUUGGUCAACGCCAAAAAGGCGGGUCGCUAUGUGUGGACUACAUAUCAAGAGGUCUAUGAAGCCGCUGCCUCAGUCCUGUAAGUCGUCAAUACCCCAAUCAUUCACAUUUAUAAUGAUCAAAUUGCUAGGAGGGAGAUCGUUGUGGUAUAUAAUGAUCAAAUUGCCCCCAAUGGAUUAUUGCAGUGGAGGCCUGUAGCAGCCAUGCCAUUACAAAUGUUCCACUUUAUGAUACCCUCGGGAUGCUUCCUUUUCUUUUUCAUGAAUUCUCAGUGCAUCAAGCAUAUGUAAAUCUGUGCAGUCAUGCCAUUACAUAUGUUCCACUUUAAAUGGUCUUGACUUUUUCCUUUCCAAAACACUUCACCGUCAUUUGUAAAUCUGUGCUGAUGAAGGGUCUAACACAAGCAAAAGCUGCACCUCUCUUGGACAAGCUUGUUUGACAAGGUAAAACAAGCACAAGGAGGACAAGUUCGUAUGUAUAUUAAUGUUGUCUGGUGCUGUGCCUUUACCCAGGCAUGUUGAGGAAUUUAUCACAAGGAUAUGCUUCGAAGGUUUGAGUUGUUAAAAGCAGCUUCAAAGUUAGGUUCAGAUGGCAAAGAAGGAAGAUGAUGCGGUGGACUCUAAUCUCUUCUCUCGACUCCUAUCUUCUCAGGAAUUUAUAUUCACAAUUUCAUUUCCAGGAAGCAAGGUUCCAAAAGUGGUUCGACUGUCAACUGGAUUUCAAGGGGUUUCGACUGUUUGGAUUCUCUAUUCAAAUUCUUCAAAAUUUCAAAUGGGAGAACACAAGAUUGACUCUUUAUGUUCCUGUUGAUUCUUCUACUGUUUGCUCUUUCCAGGUCUUUAUUCACUUAAAUGAAGUAGUUAUUUCACGUCUUUGAACGCAGCUUGUUAGAAGUGUAGCUGCAAUACAUACCCUUCCUUGAAAUGUGGCGAUUUAGUUAGGGGGGGGUGAAAUUUGCACCCCUAAAAUUGCAAACCACACCCCCUCUUUCAUUUUUUUAAUAAUAUUUCAUGCACCACUUUCUGCACUUCCUAAAACACCCUCAAAUUUGUUGUAAAUGAUAUGGCUAUUCAUGCAAUAGGUAUUGCUUGAUGCAUGCCAUUACUAUUGAUUGGCGAUUGAUAUGCUUCUAAUUAGCGAUUGACACAUUCGUAAUUGUAUGAGUGAUUGAUGUUUUACCUUUUGUACACAAGAUGUAGCCCUAUAUAAGACUCCUCAUAGUGAGAUGAAUAUGACACACUCUCCAUUCUCUGCGUCUAAACUCUCUCUCUCUCUCAAAUUAUUUUA